AGAGCACACCUGCAUCUAACUGCAGCCUGUAGCAGGAAAUCACUGAUAUCAGCAUUAAAGCCGCCUCUUCCUGUAUUAACCAACACAAAAGUAGACUGUAUAAAUCCACUGAUGAAAAGAUGUGACGUCCAUUAUGUCGACUCCUCCUCCUCCUUUACAUCCAGACAGCUCUGUUCAGUUUGCACUUGACAUUAUUUUUUUCUUUUCAUCUGCAUUUGGAUCAUGAUCAGGCUCCUCAUACAUUUAGUAGCUCUGCCGUUCUGUUUAACAGAACUCUCAAAGAACAGUGUUGAUCAGACUCCAGCAGCCAUGAUCAAAGAUCUUGGUGAAGAAAUCCUGAUAAACUGCAGCCAUUCAAACACUAAUUUUAAUAUGAUCCAGUGGUACAAACAGUCUGCUGGGAAAAGUGAUAUGGCUCUUGUUGGUUAUGUACGAUACUCUUCUCCAGCUGUUGAAGAUAAAUUUAAAGAGACUCAUAAUGGGGACCUCGAGCACCACAAACACUCCCAGUUACACUUUGAUUCAUCACGUGGAUUACACAGCAGCUAACAGCAUCA